UCAACACGGAACGGACAGACUGUCCGGACGUCCGAAAAUGAGGAACUGGUCUGUCGCGAUGUCGGUGUUGAUUUAUUUCAUAAGUUUCAAAAAGAUACUCAUUACCUUUGCAUAAGACACACUUUAAAAGUGUUCUAAUAAUGGAUGGAAAGGUAGCGAUUGUCGGUAUUGGUUGUCGCUACCCCGGCGGGGUGAACACACCGGGGGACUUCUGGUCCAUGUUGGCGGAGGGAAGGGACUGCACGAUCCCGCCCCCAGACGACAAGUACGACAGAUCGUUCCUCUGGCAUCCCAGCAGAACGCAGGGCAAACUUUACAACCGAUGCGGUGGCUACCUACAGGGCAACGUGUUCGAAUUCGACCGGCAGUUCUUCAAAAUGCCUCCAGAUGAAGCCAACCACCUGGACCCUCAAAUCCAACUACUGCUGGAAGUGACCUGGGAGGCGUUGGAGAAUGCAGGAAUUCCUCCAAGAUCCAUUCGUGGCUCCAACACCGGUGUUUACAUGGGGGUCACCUCGAAUGAGUACCUCACUUUGACAUCCUACCCAUAUUCUAACAUCAACCAGUAUUCCAACUCCGGCACAAACUCAUGCAUGGUGGCCAACCGUAUCUCCUACGAGUUUGACCUCCAUGGUCCAAGCUUCUCUGUGGACACCGCCUGCUCCUCAUCAUUAUACUCCAUCCAUCUUGCCUCUGAAGCCAUCAGGAAAGGAGAUUGCAGCAUGGCCAUAGCUGGGGGUGUCAACUUGAUGCUGUUACCAAUAAUCACAGUGGGCUUCUGCCAAGCAGGAAUGCUGUCACCAGAUGGCAAGUGUAAAAGUUUUGACGCCUCUGCAGAUGGAUAUUGCCGAAGUGAGGGCUCCGGGGUAGUUGUCCUCAAGCCACUCUCAAGAGCCCUGGCAGACGGUGACAGGAUCUAUGCUGUCAUUAGAGGAGGCACUUUAACCAAUGAUGGGAGAACACCAGGCAUCGCUAACCCCAGCUACGAUGCCCAACUGGAUCUUGUUGAGAAAGCGUGUGCAGCAGCCAAAGUACAUCCUCACAAAAUCGGGUACGUGGAGGCACAUGGAACUGGCACCAAAGUUGGAGACAGAACAGAGGCAAACGCACUCGGCCAGAUUCUUGGUAGGGGACGAAGAAGGGGAGAUCCACCGCUCUACAUUGGCUCGGUGAAGUCCAACUUCGGACACACGGAGGGGGCCGCAGGUGUAGCAGGGAUCAUCAAACUUGCGCUUAUGAUUAGCAAGGGCCAAAUUCCCAGGGUGGUGCACUUUUCGUCACCGAAUCCCGACAUACACUUUGAUCUGCUGAACGUCAAGGUUCCCAGGACUUUGGUACAGUGGGAAGAGGAUGAAAACAGGCUUGCAGGCUGCAGCUCUUUUGGCUUUGGUGGAGCUAAUGCUCACCUCAUCCUGGAGAAGCCCCCGUCUCCAAAUCGUCAUCCAGCUGUAGCCAACAGUAACAAAUUCAUCAAUCACAGUCAGUGCACAGAAGAAACAGAACAUGAGGCAAAGACCAUCAUGCUGCUGUCUGGGAACACCAAAGCUGCCCUAAAAGAACAAAUGGAACAUUGGAUCUCUUUCAUAACAGACACCAUACGUUUCAAUGAAGACCACUUCCAACAGAGUCUGUACACGGCUGCAAACCGUUAUCAACACCAUGCAGAAAGGCUAGCAAUAGUUGUCAACAGACCAGAUGAUGCCGUUCAGAAGCUAAAUCUCAUGAUGAGAGGAGAAAAGCUGAAGCCAGCGGUGGAGGGAAAGGUCCACGCGGAGUCUGACCGAAGCAAGAUGGUCUUUGUCUUUUCAGGAAUGGGAACUCAGUGGUGGGGAAUGGCCAGAAACCUUGCCCUGGAGGAUCCAGUGUUCGGUGACGUGAUACAGCGGUUUGAAGAUUUGCUGAAGACACUAGGAGCUGACUGGUCCAUCACCGACAUGUUGACCAAGGAGACAAGUCCAGACAAGAUCAACAGGACAGACAUCUCACAACCCUGCAUCUGCGCAGUUCAGAUGGGUUUGGUUGAGCUGUUGAAACAGUAUGACGUCAUACCCGAUGCCAUCAUUGGGCACAGCGUUGGAGAAGUGGCGGCAGCAUACGCCGCUGGUCUCAUAAGCUUCGAAGAUGCCGUGCGAGUGAUCUACCACAGAGGCAAGGCACUAAGCAAGACAAGUGGCCAUGGAAAAAUGCUAGCCGUACUGCACCCAACUGGAGAGGUGGAAGGGCUCGUGGAGAAAGACGACAACAAGAACAUCAUCGAUGUAGCUGCCACCAACAGUCCCAACCAGAUAGUGCUGUCCGGAGAUGUCAAUGCCAUUGAUACCUUCCACAACAAGCUGAAGAGUAAAGACAUCAAAUGUGUGCUCCUUAGAGUAAACAACGCAUUCCACAGCUACCAACAGGAACGAGUGAAGGAUGACAUUCUUACGAACCUGAAGAUUCUGUCAGCAUUAUCCGGCAGGACAACAGAGGCACAGAUCCCUAUGAUUUCCACUGUCACAAACAAAUGGCUGACGCCAGAGAUCACCAACAGUGCCGACUACUGGUGGACAAAUAUCAGGCAACAAGUCCGCUUCAUGCAGUCGGUACAAGUUCUCCUGCAGGAAGGCUACAACACUUUUGUCGAGAUAGGGGCGCAUCCAGUCUUGGGUUCUGCGCUAAAGGAUAUUGUAAGUGCCGUUAACUCACGCACAACUAAGCCAAACAUCAUACCCACUCUACUACGACCAAAAGACAUCUCUUCAACAGCCGAUGACCGUGAAAACAUACUGGUCACUACCGGAGCCUUGCAUGUGGUGGGGUACCCAGUCAACUUCAGCCGUGCGUUUGAGGAAAAGCACCGACGUGUUCACGACAUCCCUACAUACCCUUGGCAAAGGGUGCUGUGUAAUGCUAGUACAGACAGCAUUAUUUCACAGUACAAGUUUCCUCAGAGGGUACAUCCUUUACUUGGACAAGCACAGGAAACCACCGAAGGGACGAACAGCCAGAGGUCAAAGGUUUGGUGUUCCAAUCUUUCCGAGGAAUCAGUACCGUGGCUAAAACACCACGUCUUGGAUGGAAACGUGGUCGUCCCGGCUACAGCAUAUGUGGAGACAACACUGGCAGCAGCCUCCGACAUCUGUGAGGGUCAGAACUUAAUCUUGUUGAAAAACCUUCAGUUCAAACGUUUCAUGUUUGCCCCCACAUCAGAAGCGGUAAUCAAAUCAACGAUUCAACACAGAACCGCAACAGAAAAGCAGUUUGACCUGUACAGCAAAGAUGCCUCCGGUUCAUGGAUCCUUCAUGCCACAGCAGAGGUACACAAGGCAGACCUGACCAAACAAGCUGGAGCCACAGAUCCCCUUGCCAAUGUUGCAGAGAGGUGUUCCAAGACUAUUUCCAGCGAGCAGAUCUAUGAAGCUGCAGAGAAAGCUGGCUUUCAUCUCGGUAGCUCGUUCCACUGCGUUACCUCCUGCACAGCAUCUGACAGCUAUGAAGAAGCUCUGGUCACAGCAGAGGCCCCAGAAGAGAUUUCAAGAGAAUUUGGACGAUACAUCUGCCAUCCUGCUUUCAUGGACUCAUUUCUGCACACAUUUUUCUGUUUGUCACUCCUAAAAGACAAGAACACGAGAAAGACACCAGCAAAGCGAGUUCCACUCUCCAUGAAGUCUAUGCACAUGUUCACAAAAAUGCCGUCAAAGGUCACUCUCUACGUAAGAGUUUCAAAGAAAGGUCAACGCAAGGGGGUGGACAUCACAGUGACCGACACCAGCAACCACCAAGUCGUUUGCGAAAUCAAAGAGCUCAUGUUUGAGGAUAUGGAUGCAGGUUCGUCCUCUGGACUCAAGCUUUGGAAUCUUCAAUGGGAACAUCUUGUCAAGAAUGGAAGCAAUGAAGCGCAAGAGCCUACCGUAUACAAACAUGUGCUGGUCCUUCAUGAAAAUGAAAGCUUUGGCUCAACAGUGAGUACAGCUCUGCAGGCCAAUCUGGGUUGCACAGUUGAGAUGAUGAACCAAAAUAUCCUGUCUGAAAGUGAAGGUACUAAGAACACGCAAAUGCAUGCUGAUUUCGAUCACAUCCUUGUUCUGUAUGAUUCUGAAAUGCAAGAGCAAACAGAAGAUCCAGGAGAUCGUUUUGCUCAAGUUCUAAGAUCUUUCAAAUGUCUUUCCAUGUUGAAGCGCUUUUCACGUCUUGAUCAGCCCCCAACACUUUGGAUUAUCACUCGCGGGUCAUCUUCAGUGCAAGAGCAAGACAUCGUGAGCCCGUUCCUGGCAGGUACGUCAUCUCUGUGCUUAUCCAUAUUUCAGGAGUACCCACUCUUCAAGGUUAAGGCAGUUGACUUGACCCCACAGCAAAACUUCGUUGAUGCAGCCAUGGAAGUUUUGUCCGUCUUACAGGCAAAUCUUAGGGAAAAUGAAAUUGCAGCUCGUAUGGAUACCUCCGCAGACAACAUGCAGGUCAACCUUUACGCUAGGAGGCUGAGCUCGAUGAAACCUGACCAGAUCGUCACAACAUGUUCUCCCAACGAAUCAUGGACAUUUGACCCCAAGCAGAGGCAAAAUGGGAAGAAACUCUACAAAGCUCAAUCGAGUCCUAGCACACCAACAAGAAAUGAAGCUACAGUUAAGGUUGCGGCCUUUGCUGUAUGCCCCUUUGCUGACGUGUUGGGGAGGCAUUAUGGGCCUGCCCACGACAUCCACCUCAUCUGUGGCACCGCACAUCACCCACCCACAGCAAUGACGGUACAGGAAGGAUCAAGGGUAAUGGGAGUCGUCAUGGGCUGUAUCAGUCCUCAAAUGAACAUACAGAUGAGAAACCUAGUGCCCAUACCGGGUACCCUCUCUUGGGACAAUGCAGUUGCAAUAGUCAAAGACCUCUUGCCAGCAUUCUCUUUCUUCCAGAAGAUCCAGACAGUGUGUCAAGAAGAUAGAGUUGUUGUUUUCCUGCCCGGCGGGGUUAACAAAGAGUCACUGGCUUAUGCCUCCCUGGCACUACACCACAAGGCUGACGUCUGUAUUGUGGCAGAUACAGUCCAAAAUGUAAACAUUGAAAAACAUCUUGUCUAUACAUCAGGAUCCCGCUCACCUACAUCGUCAGCACUGAUCACAACGUACGACAAGGUUGAGCAAGACAUACCAGACAAACAUGCAAGUGUGGUGUUCUUACCUAAAGGGGACAGGGCAGGAGACGUCCUCCAACAAGCUACAAGGAAGUUACAAGACUUUGGAACUUUAGUUAAUUUGGGCGGCUCACCAAUCCAUAUGGAACAACUUCCAAAGAACAUCAAAUACAUCGCUGUGGAUCCUCUCGCUAGUUGCAAGGAAGAAUCAUCCCUCGUUUGCAUGGCAGACAACAUUCAACAGCUUCUAUCAAAAUUUGACAAGUCAGACAACACGCUUUUCUCGUUCAUACCAUCUGUACAAACCAAGAUGGAGCUAUCCUCUUUAUCCCACAUAUUGCACCAACAACAGAAGGGACUGAAGAUGCCCGAUAUAGUGACCAUCGAUGACAGGGUAGUAGAGUUGGGCCUAGACAUCAAACAAAGCCUGUUUAUAGCUGACGACAAAUCUACAUACGUUGUCACGGGAGGUCUGAAGGGCUUUGGUCUUGCCCUACUGGAAUGGCUGGCCAGGUCUGGAGCACGUUAUCUGGUUGUUCUUGCAAGAAGUGAACCGAAUGAAGAAGCCAGAAUAAUGCUGGCAGCAUUGGCAUCAAAGUCUGUUGACGUCAAGGUGAUGGAAGUGGAUGUAACCAACAAGAAAGCUGUAGAGGAGGCACUGGCUUGGGUGCGUGGUACUAUGCCACCAAUAGAGGGGAUAUUCCACUGUGCAGCAGUAUAUGCAGACAAACUGAUUGAUCAGACUACUCAAGACGACUGGGAAAGGGUCAUGCUUCCAAAGGCAGUUGGUGCUAUAAUCUUACAUGACGUCACGAAGAAGCUCCACAUCAGGCUUAAGCACUUUGUCCUCAUCUCCUCAGUCGUUGCUCUGUUUGGUAACACAGGACAGGUCGGCUACUGUGCAGCUAACAGCACUCUGAUAGCACUGGGAGAAGCAAGACGGCAAGAGGGUCUGCCUGCAACAGUCGCCAGUUUUGGGGUCAUCAACACCGUUGGAUUUGCAGAGAGAUCCGGUCUUGUCCAAACGUGGGAGAGAAUGGGUGUGCAAAGCAUCUCACCACAUGACGCAUUGGAAAUCCUUGGGUGCAUGACGGAAAAUCAGUAUCCUCAUUUUGGGAUCACUGCCACCUUCGAUAUUCGAAAAUAUUGUAGUACCCACAAGUCAAUGGCGCUGCAACACCUACAGGCCCCUGACACCUGCUUUUCUCGAUUCACAACAUUGGUACCAAAUGACGUGUUCAUUGGGUCAGUAUCCCUCUCUGACAAAGUGCUUGUUUCAACCAAAGACAAUGGUCUAAGGACCAUACAGGAGGAGCUGAUUGCUUACAUAUGCAAACAGCUUGGCAUUGAAGACCCGACUGAAAUCACCAUCGAGGCAAUUCCAGUAUCCCUUGGACUGGACUCUCUCUUGUCUGUGGACAUGAGCAACGACAUAGCAGACAAAUUUGAGGUGCAGGUUACAACCGUGGAACUUCUGAGUGACAAAAUGACUAUCAAGAUGCUCAGUGAAUCCAUCUAUGACAAAAUGGUUAACGUAGCUGGUAGCCACGGAACAACAACAGACUCCCUCAACCCAUUGGCACCUGAAAGAAACUCGUGGCUUCACUUCCUUGUUAAGCUCCAAGACCCGGUCCUUACCCUGGUUUGCUUCCCUGCAAAUGGUGGAGGUCCAUCACUCUUCCAUCAGUGGAAAGAACAUUUUGCAAAACACAACAUUGAGGUUGUAGUCGCCACUCUGCCGGGCUGGGAAAGCAGAGAAAGGGAAUCUCCCAUCAGCAGCCUACAGCAGAUUGUUGAGGCACUUGGGAGUCAAAUCAUGGAGACGUUGGUGAACAGGAAGAUGGUAUUUUAUGGCCACAGCAUGGGAUCACUCAUAGCAUUUGAGGUCGCACACUUGAUCCACACCAAAGGCAGUGUAUGCCCUUCCCAUCUAUUUGUUGGAGGGUGGUAUGCUCCAUCUCUACCCUAUCCACAUCCACAGGACCUGAGGGUAUCACCCACUUUGUUCGACCCUUUAGCUGGAACACAGCAGAUCAUGGGAGAGGCUAAAACAUUCUCCUUCCUACCAAAAUCUAUUGUUAACAACCCCACCCACCUGCGGCGACUGUUGCCAUGUCUCCAGGCAGGGUUAACGAUCUGCAAGUCUUACAUCUGCGAACACAAGGAGCCACUGCCAUGUAAUGUUGUUGCAUUUGGCGGCGAAGACGACCCCUUUGUUUCCCCCGAACUUCUUGACAACUGGGAGCUUGUUGCAUCCGACUCACCAGCCACAAGACCAGCCUUCAGGAAGUGCAUUGUGCCGGGUAGGCAUUUCUUCAUCAUAUCGUCAAGACAACGCGUUCUCAACAAAGUGACGAGUGUCCUGCAGGAAGACAACGCAAUGAUUCAACCAUCAGACAAAAGUAGUGGAAGAGAUACACCGAAAGUGGUCGACACGGAAGCGACCCUGUCCCCAACAAUGGUUUCCAGUGAUCUGUCUCCUGCAAAGUCUGCAUCAACUGAACGACAGGUGUCUUUGACACCGAUAGGAAAGGCUCAACUGAGGAAAGAGUGUGCUAAUGGUUCAUCAACAUCACACAGCAUCGACUCCCCCCAACAACAGAUCAAAAACUCCAGUCCAGAUGUGUCACAUGCACUAAACGAUGGUCUUCUGCAGAUGCUCAAGAAAGGUAGUACAGUGAAGAAGAUGACAUCCAAAGGGUGGACGCACAAGAAACACCUCCAGUUGGUGAUGAAGAAUGGCUUGGCUGCAGACCUUCUUUGGGGCUCGAACGGCAAAACCAGACAGCUUUCAGUUUUGAGUAUCUCCAGUAUCCAGAGUUCCACAGUUGAAGGUAAACCCAGUCUCCAUUUGAUAACCGAGGAACGAGACUUCACGUUCAUCUUCAACUCCAACAAGGACAUGGAGAGCUGGAGGCACGCCCUGUGGACCCUACUCAACACAUGUACAGCUUCAGAUGAAGAUCCAGAGAGGGAAGACACACACCUUUAAAGAGUUCUCCGUACCCUGGGUGAAGCUCGUCCUCACAGGUGCUUACACACAGAAGACGAUUCAAUGAGUCUUGACAACUAUCAUCAACGAAUGACUAACAAUAACAUGUCUAAACCUACUGUCAUUAGAAAGUUUCAUUGCAAAUUCAUGCCCGAGGGCUAAUUGCAUGAACAGAAGAAACAUUUGUAUAAAAACAGAUAAUUAGUACACAUAGAACUACUGAUAACUAUUAAGAAACUACUAGUAAAAACUACUGGGUUUGACUUCUUUUUUGAAGACAGAGGAAGACAAAGGAUCCCACUUUUUCCGUAAUUUGUGAUUAAAGGGAUAAGACCGCUCAAGUAUUGUAUGACUUUUGUGACAGCCAGUCAAAGUCAGUUAGAUACUGUUGUAAGAUUCUUAGCUUGAAAUCUUAUGGAAUAAUAUAUGUACUCAAGCCACUGAUUUCAAGUCUACAAAUAUACAUGUAUAUGGCACAUAAUGUACAUGUACAUUUGGCUAUCUAAUCCUUCAAAGACUUUUCCUACCAAUAUUUACCCGUUUUACAGUGAUUGCAAAGGAUGAUGACAUCAUACGAUUGCAUUGCAUAAUAUUAAUCCUUAAUUUUUUAUUGGAUUUAUAAUGUACUACAUGUAGUAUAUGAAUAAAUGUUUUAGAUAUACAUGUAUGUAAGGAUAUACAUGUAUCUUGCAGUGGCAGCGUUUUUGUAUGUGUGUAUGCUGAAUAGACGAUGGUGUUAUUUAAGGUGUUCAUGGACGAAAUGGGCUUUAAUAGAGACUUUAGCGCAUCAGCAAAAUGUAGUAAAUAGCGUUUCAAAGGAUUAAGAUUUCAAAAUUUUAUGGAAAUUUUCAUGGAAUAAUAGCAAAAGCGGAUUUCAUGCCAAUUCGAGCUUUCAUGAAUAAAUAAAAAAUAUGUAUGGCAGAUAAUGCACAUGUAGAUCAGUUGUAGAUCAAUAUAUUCUCCAUAUCUAACCGUUUUACAAUUACUGAAAAGUAACAUUAAAGUAGUAUACAAUAUCAUAUAUAUAUCGAGAGAUUUUUGUGCUAAGCAUUACAUAAUAUGUAUCAUUGAGUACUUUAUUUGAUUUAUAAGAAGGUACUGCAUGUAGUAUGUGGAUUGAUGUUUUUCAUUGUUUUCAUUUCAUUGUUUUUCAGUGAUAUAUCUUUCAGUAUGGGAAGUGGCAGUACUAGGUAUAUAUAGUAGAUAAAUCAUAUGGAAUAGAUGGUGGUGGUCUCUAAAGAAGUUUGUGGACGAAAUGUACUUUAAUAGAGACGUUAAGAUUUGCUUGAUGUAUAACCACAAUUUUCCCCUCGAAACGCGAGAAAUAGCGUUUCAGAGGGUUAAACGUUUCCAACUGCAUGCGUUAAUGUUAUUCCUGAAGUCAACUUCAUGUAGUUUUAUGUUCUUGUCUUAAGCACUACUGUAAAUUGUAAGAAACAUAUGCACAUUUACAUGGAGACAGGUUUAUAAAUUUUCAAACAAUAAUGUUUUUAUCUAGUGAAUUCAUUACAUGAAGAAUAAUCUGUCAUUUUUUAAAGUUUUUUUUUUGCAUUUAGAUGUGAACUAAUUGCUCAACAGCGCUGUAUGUACUACAUGUAUAUGGAUCCUGUCUAAUAACUUGGAUGUAACGUGUGUAUUUGUUAACCAAGAACAGUUAUAGGUGAUAAAUGAAUGUUAACAUGUAAGGAUGGAAUAUCAUAUAAUUAUUAUUAAGGUGGAUAUCUUAUAAUGCAGACGUUGUUUGAGAAUAGGUUAUUAACAGCAAAUGUCUGCAAGGAUAUGGUGGCGUAGGUAAAAAAAAUAGAUUUGGCUCAGAUUUUGCAGUGAUAGUACCCACAAUUCCUCAAAAUAGCUUUCUUUCCGGUCAAAACAGAUCGUUGCCAUGGUAACUGGUCAAACAAGUCUUGCGUUUGAUGUAAUAUAUGAUUUUAUUCAUAUUCAAGAUAAAUAUAUGUAUAUAUAUAUAACAUUUAUCUAAUUAAAUCUUGACAGAGUUAAUCAUGUCAUGACACAGGUAACUCUUUGCAUUGUCUAUCAAAUGAAUGCUUGUAGAGGUUGGGUUCUUGUUUUGUGUCCCUAAAAGUAGGCCUUAAGCGGGAAUAAGCAUUUUGUGCUAUGUUUGACGUUCUGCAAAUACCAAUGUACGAUUUUUCUUCGGAAUAAACCUUUUUAG